GGGUUGUGAGGUUAAGCGACUAAGCGUACACGGUGGAUGCCCUGGCAGUCAGAGGCGAUGAAGGACGUGCUAAUCUGCGAUAAGCGUCGGUAAGGUGAUAUGAACCGUUAUAACCGGCGAUUUCCGAAUGGGGAAACCCAGUGUGUUUCGACACACUAUCAUUAACUGAAUCCAUAGGUUAAUGAGGCGAACCGGGGGAACUGAAACAUCUAAGUACCCCGAGGAAAAGAAAUCAACCGAGAUUCCCCCAGUAGCGGCGAGCGAACGGGGAGCAGCCCAGAGCCUGAAUCAGUGUGUGUGUUAGUGGAAGCGUCUGGAAAGGCGCGCGAUACAGGGUGACAGCCCCGUACACAAAAAUGCACAUACUGUGAGCUCGAUGAGUAGGGCGGGACACGUGGUAUCCUGUCUGAAUAUGGGGGGACCAUCCUCCAAGGCUAAAUACUCCUGACUGACCGAUAGUGAACCAGUACCGUGAGGGAAAGGCGAAAAGAACCCCGGCGAGGGGAGUGAAAAAGAACCUGAAACCGUGUACGUACAAGCAGUGGGAGCACGCUUCGGCGUGUGACUGCGUACCUUUUGUAUAAUGGGUCAGCGACUUAUAUUCUGUAGCAAGGUUAACCGAAUAGGGGAGCCGAAGGGAAACCGAGUCUUAACUGGGCGUUAAGUUGCAGGGUAUAGACCCGAAACCCGGUGAUCUAGCCAUGGGCAGGUUGAAGGUUGGGUAACACUAACUGGAGGACCGAACCGACUAAUGUUGAAAAAUUAGCGGAUGACUUGUGGCUGGGGGUGAAAGGCCAAUCAAACCGGGAGAUAGCUGGUUCUCCCCGAAAGCUAUUUAGGUAGCGCCUCGUGAAUUCAUCUCCGGGGGUAGAGCACUGUUUCGGCAAGGGGGUCAUCCCGACUUACCAACCCGAUGCAAACUGCGAAUACCGGAGAAUGUUAUCACGGGAGACACACGGCGGGUGCUAACGUCCGUCGUGAAGAGGGAAACAACCCAGACCGCCAGCUAAGGUCCCAAAGUCAUGGUUAAGUGGGAAACGAUGUGGGAAGGCCCAGACAGCCAGGAUGUUGGCUUAGAAGCAGCCAUCAUUUAAAGAAAGCGUAAUAGCUCACUGGUCGAGUCGGCCUGCGCGGAAGAUGUAACGGGGCUAAACCAUGCACCGAAGCUGCGGCAGCGACACUAUGUGUUGUUGGGUAGGGGAGCGUUCUGUAAGCCUGUGAAGGUGUGCUGUGAGGCAUGCUGGAGGUAUCAGAAGUGCGAAUGCUGACAUAAGUAACGAUAAAGCGGGUGAAAAGCCCGCUCGCCGGAAGACCAAGGGUUCCUGUCCAACGUUAAUCGGGGCAGGGUGAGUCGACCCCUAAGGCGAGGCCGAAAGGCGUAGUCGAUGGGAAACAGGUUAAUAUUCCUGUACUUGGUGUUACUGCGAAGGGGGGACGGAGAAGGCUAUGUUGGCCGGGCGACGGUUGUCCCGGUUUAAGCGUGUAGGCUGGUUUUCCAGGCAAAUCCGGAAAAUCAAGGCUGAGGCGUGAUGACGAGGCACUACGGUGCUGAAGCAACAAAUGCCCUGCUUCCAGGAAAAGCCUCUAAGCAUCAGGUAACAUCAAAUCGUACCCCAAACCGACACAGGUGGUCAGGUAGAGAAUACCAAGGCGCUUGAGAGAACUCGGGUGAAGGAACUAGGCAAAAUGGUGCCGUAACUUCGGGAGAAGGCACGCUGAUAUGUAGGUGAAGUCCCUCGCGGAUGGAGCUGAAAUCAGUCGAAGAUACCAGCUGGCUGCAACUGUUUAUUAAAAACACAGCACUGUGCAAACACGAAAGUGGACGUAUACGGUGUGACGCCUGCCCGGUGCCGGAAGGUUAAUUGAUGGGGUCAGCGCAAGCGAAGCUCUUGAUCGAAGCCCCGGUAAACGGCGGCCGUAACUAUAACGGUCCUAAGGUAGCGAAAUUCCUUGUCGGGUAAGUUCCGACCUGCACGAAUGGCGUAAUGAUGGCCAGGCUGUCUCCACCCGAGACUCAGUGAAAUUGAACUCGCUGUGAAGAUGCAGUGUACCCGCGGCAAGACGGAAAGACCCCGUGAACCUUUACUAUAGCUUGACACUGAACAUUGAGCCUUGAUGUGUAGGAUAGGUGGGAGGCUUUGAAGUGUGGACGCCAGUCUGCAUGGAGCCGACCUUGAAAUACCACCCUUUAAUGUUUGAUGUUCUAACGU
rnacentral:rRNA from 1 species